UACGGAGGGGGCUAGCGUUAUUCGGAAUUACUGGGCUUAAAGAGUUCGUAGGCGGCCCGACAGGUGAGGUGUGAAAUCCCUCGGCUCAACCGAGGAAUUGCACUUCAAACCGUCAGGCUUGAGGGAGAUAGAGGUGAGCGGAACAGAUGGUGGAGCGGUGAAAUGCGUUGAUAUCAUCUGGAACACCGGUGGCGAAAGCGGCUCACUGGAUCUUUUCUGACGCUGAGGAACGAAAGCUAGGGUAGCGAACGGG
rnacentral:rRNA from 1 species